UCUUUGUUUCUAUCUUGUGGUGUGUUGCUAAUUGCUUUUUGAUAUUAUCUUCAUAUAGUUGUUGUUUGUUCCAGAGCCAACGACCACAACCGACCUACAAUCUCUUUCUUUUCAUGACCUAAUUCUGAUGCCUUAGGUAAAAACCUCUGAUGUGGAGGUGUUUAGUAAAAAAUCUUCAAUGAACUGGUUUUCUUAUUUGAUUUCUUAUGCAUCCCUGGUCUUUUCCAUCCUUCGGAGGAUCUUGUGAAGGAUAUUUAAGCGACUUUCCAUUCAGGAGAUCUUGGGCGACCCUUGAAUGAUUAAGACAGCUAAUCCGAAUGGAGCCUGCUGAAAUUAAGUGAUAUUUUCGCAUACUGCUGUCAUCCAUACAAUUUUUUAUGAUAUUUGUUUCAGGAUUUGUUUUAUCUUUCAAAAUGGUAUUCCAUUUUGAGAGUUAAUUUUCAGUCAUAGUUUGUCAAAUUAAAUAUAUAAUUUCAGAACAUGAUAUAAAAAA